ACAAUGGAGAGUUUGAUCCUGGCUCAGGAUGAACGCUAGCUACAGGCUUAACACAUGCAAGUCGAGGGGAAACGGCAUUAAGUGCUUGCACUUUUUGGACGUCGACCGGCGCACGGGUGAGUAACGCGUAUCCAACCUGCCCCUUACCAGGGAAUAACCCGUUGAAAGACGGACUAAUGCCCUAUGCAGUCCUUUGACGGCAUCAGAUUAGGACUAAAGAUUCAUCGGUAUGGGAUGGGGAUGCGUCUGAUUAGCUUGUUGGCGGGGUAACGGCCCACCAAGGCAUCGAUCAGUAGGGGUUCUGAGAGGAAGGUCCCCCACAUAGGAACUGAGACACGGUCCUAACUCCUACGGGAGGCAGCAGUGAGGAAUAUUGGUCAAUGGGCGGUAGCCUGAACCAGCCAAGUAGCGUGCAGGA
rnacentral:ncRNA from 1 species